rnacentral:rRNA from 1 species
UACGUAGGGGGCAAGCGUUAUCCGGAUUUACUGGGUGUAAAAGGGGCGCAGACGGCGAUGCAAGCCAGGAGUGAAAGCCCGGGGCCCAACCCCGGGACUGCUCUUGGAACUGCGUGGCUGGAGUGCAGGAGGGGCAGGCGGAAUUCCUGGUGUAGCGGUGAAAUGCGUAGAUAUCAGGAGGAACACCGGUGGCGAAGGCGGCCUGCUGGACUGCAACUGACGUUGAGGCCCGAAAGCGUGGGGAGCAAACAGG